UUAGGUAGUUGGCGGGGUAAUAGCCCACCAAGCCUGUGAUCCGUAAGGUCUCUUAGCGGAGAGGCCCUGAGAGGGAAUCUGAGACACUAUUCCCAGCCCUACGGGGUGCAGCAGGUAAGAAUCUUUCGCAAUGCGCGCAAGCGUGACAAAGCGAGCCAGAGUGCUUUUCAAUUGAAAAGCUUUUGCCAAAUCUAAAAAUUUUGGCGAAUAAGGACUGGGUAAGACUAGUGCCAGCCGCCGCGGUAAUCCUAGCGGUCCGAGUCGCAGCCAUCAUUAUUGGGUCUAAAACAUCCGUAGCUUGCUUAAUAAGUUCCUUGUGAAAUCUUAUCUCUUAAGGGUAAGGCGUGCAAGGAGUACUGCUAAGCUAGAGACUGGAAGACGUAAGAAGUAUGUUCAAAGUAGCGGUAAAAUGUGUUAAUCUUGAGCAGACUCACAACAGCGAAGGCAUCUUACGAGGACAGUUCUGACAGUAAAGGAUGAAGGCUAGGGGCGCAAAGUGGAUUAGAUACCCAUGUAGUCCUAGCAGUAAACACUGCACACUAAACAUUAGUACCUCCUCGAGAGGUAUUGGUGCUGUAGAGAAGUCGAAGAGUG
rnacentral:rRNA from 1 species